AUUUUAAAUUGUGGUGUAAUAAAAUGUGGCAGUUAUUUUAAACAGAUUGUAAAUAAUAGAUUUAUUUAUAUAUAACUUUAUUUCACUCAUACCAUACACUGUUUAAAGUUGGACUUAACGUUAAAUAGAAUUCUCUUUUAGAUUGAAAUAAAAAUUUGACGCUGGCUCUUGAGACGCAGUUAACAAAUAUUAAUCACAGUACCACUAAUCAAUGGGCGAUAAAAGCCCCAUUAAUGGUUAGAUUAAUUUAUCGUUUAAUGGAAGGCUCGAGAAAUUUAAUAACGAUUGAAGUAUUAUUAAUUUGUGAACAGAAAGGAAAUAAAAUUCACACCGGAAUAAAAGAACUAGAUAACUGAUGUUCAGAAAUGUGUCUACAAAUCACUUUAAUCAUAUGUUUAUUAGAGGCUACCUUCCUGAAAGAAUCAUUUGGGAAUACAGGACAUAAGUCGAUGUGUGAAGAGAAAAAGAUUUCAUCACCACCCUUCUUCACUUAUCCCAUUUAUUAUCCAUUCUAUUACUAUCCCAUGUACAUACCUACUUUUUAUGUGUUGGGAUAAAUAUAAGAUACUGAAACGUAUUUUAUGACCUAUGUCAGAAGAAUGAAGGCUAUAUAUUUUUUUUAUCUUAUAAAGAUAAAGAUAGAUUUAUUUGCAAACAUGUGUGCAUUGUAGAUACAAAGACAUGCUGGUUAUUCAUUGUAGAAUUUGUAUAGAUCUAAUAUAUUUUUUUAACAGCGUGCAAAAUGUUCUUCCAAGGGCAAUGGUAAUUUCAACUGCCUUACAAAAUAAAUCCAUGCUUUUUAUCUAUCUAUGCCUUACAACAUAUAUAUUUAGUGUUUUGUAAAAAAUACAUAUGAAUAUUACCGUUAGAAG
rnacentral:lncRNA from 1 species